UAAGACUCUUCCCCUCGUGCUUCACGAGAAAGUAGCCUUUAACUGUGGAAAGGCGACCUACGGGAACGGGGGAGGGGGAGAGCGGUAGCAGCCGGAGGCAUAAGCUCGCGGCAGACCUCUGUUCCUCCAGCUCUUGUUCUGCUGAGGUGACAUGAUCGGAGGACCCUGCGGAAGGCCAGAGACUGCGCUGUGGGAGGGACCUUCUGCAAGGACAGAGAAGGGAGACGACAGAAAUGACAUGGGGACAGAAACUUGGUUGGAAGUACGGAAGUGUUCAAAUGGGGCUUUAGCAGAUUUUUCUGUGUGAUAAGGAAUAUCAGUAGUGCUUUUGCAAUGAGAUCUGCUUUUCUGACAUCUGAGAAAAUGACAUCAAGGUACAGCAAGAACAAAAUGGCCUGGACAUUUGAGUUACAACACUUUUUUACUUUCUUGUCAUUCUUUUCUGUUAUCCCCAAGCCUUCAAAUAAAAUGUUUCAGAUUUCUUAGCUAUA